GGACUACCGGGGUAUCUAAUCCUGUUUGCUCCCCACGCUUUCGUGCAUGAGCGUCAGUAGAGGGCCAAGAAGCUGCCUUCGCCAUCGGUGUUCCUCUCGAGAUCUACGCAUUUUACCGCUACUCCGAGAAUUCCACUUCUCUCUCCCACACUCUAGUACGCCAGUAUCUACCGCAUACCCCCAGUUAGGCCGGGGACUUUAACGGUUGACUUAACAUACAGCCUGCGCACCCUUUACGCCCAAUUAUUCCGAAUAACGUUUGCACCCUUCGUAUUACCGCGGCUGCUGGCAC
rnacentral:rRNA from 1 species